rnacentral:rRNA from 1 species
GAGGUGGCCAGAUCGGACUCUGGAGGCCGCUCUGCGGCCGUCGUCGUCGUCGUCGUCGUCGCAUCGGCAGGCCGGCGCGGCAGAGUGGCCGCUUGAGCGAGGGCUGCGGCGCCAGGAAGACGUUCGACGUAUCGAAGGCUGUUUUGGAUCAUUCCUGAGCACACUACUCGAGACACGAAGGCUCAAGACUCGCUACUUGACCUAGACUUCGCACGACCGAGAGAGUUCACCCGAAGGGCCUCAACUCUCGGGGCGGACGCCCUACCCUUCCGACCGGCAACGGCGGCGCCACCGGCGUACCCGAUAGGGCUAGCGGCGGAACCAACUGAGGUAGCACGGACUGGGGAUGUACCUACUCUAUAAGGUACAAGGGGUCCGCGUCGUUAUAACGGCACCUCUAAAGAAUUGCACCCUAGGGUACUAGUGGUGGGGAGGACCGGACAUGAUGUAAAGAGAUCGUAUACAACGAAGAGACAAGGGAUCACGUACCCGAUAAUUCCAUCGUCUCCGUAAACUGGGGGAAACGUGGUGCCGUGAAGAGGCCAGGUGAUUACAAUAUUACCGUUACCAGACGCCAUAAGAACAGGUACUGGACGAAGACACAUAGUUCGGUCCUUAACCGUUCUGCUUCCGUUGACGAAUACGAUAAGAACAUCGCAACAUAGGACAAGUGACCAAGAAAUGGAAAGACAUAAUAUGACUACAGCGUAGUAAUCGACGUCAAGAACGCUACAUGGACAGGACGAACUUCUUUGCCAAAACCCAGUCGCGUGACAAGCCACGAGAGAGUUAUGAAAAGGCCGUCUGAUUACAUUAUACCUACUAUAAAAAACGACGGUUACCUCGGUAACGUAUACAUGUUCUAGAAAGAGAGUCACUGACGGAAAGACUACUCUUGUCACUUGGUUGUUUAUUCAGUUCUUGUCUUCACAGACUGUCCCUAUCGUUUCAUUCACGAAAUCCAAACUCUUCUGCUGCUUGAUUAGUGGGGUAUUCAUUCUCCCCUCAACAAAGACCUAGAUGAUUUAACGUGUGGUCAAAAUGUCUUCUUGAUAAGCUGUAACCGAAGUUCAAUACCUUAAGUUUCACAUUUCAAAAUUAGUGAAAACGUGGUAAGCGUUAUCAAGACCACCAUAAACAUCGUAAAUAUUAGACCUUACCACCGUAUCAUGAUCCACGGUUCCUUCGAGUACAACAAAGUGGUGUAAAACGUGUCAAUAACAUGAAACCAGAUCACAGUCGAUGACGGGAGGAUGGCACCGUAAAAUGAGGGCCUGCUCAUAGUCUGAAUAAGGUGACCACAUCUUUCUUGUUUUGGAAAUCAAGAGACCGUUACGACUAUCGAGAACCAAAUCCGAAACCCCGACAUGUAAAUAAGUCGUAACGAGUAGGCAUAGAAAACCGACUGUUAUCUGUAAUGUGGAAGAUAUAGACCUCCUUCCAGUAGGUUCGAGUGACCUACUACUUUAUGUAAAACCAAGGUGAGAUAUACAUGAGUACCAAAAGUCAGUAGUUGUAGAAUCCCUUUAGCGUCGGUUCUCAAACCCACCACAGGAAACAAAAGAGUCAACGCAACCAAGAGCAGGGACGGGGCAACCAGCUUAAAUCUAUGAUGUGUUAGGGUAACCAGUAUGACCACGAGUUAAGGGGCCAGUAGUCAUUACCGUUUAACGAACGAAACCCCAGACGUAUACGACGACACCUAAACAAGUGAGACCACUACAAAGACAGGUCUGGUAAGGUAACCCCGGUACUCGGCCCUUGUGUUUCCAAGUACACCAUCAAAUCUACUGCUUUAACUGUUCUCUGGGUGAGGUCACAAGCCAGUGUCGGCGAGGCCGAAUAGCCGUGGGGGUAACCUCUUUAAUCUUGACGUUACUACACAUUAGGAUUAAAAAAAACCCCAGUCAAAAGCACAUACUCAAAGUUCAUUCAGUUUGUACGCACGAACCUAUAAGCUUCUAAAAGAAAAGAACUUGUACGUGUGUUUACACAUAACAAAACAUGAAGGAG